AAUGAACGCUGGCGGCGUGCCUAAUACAUGCAAGUCGAGCGAACAGACGAGGAGCUUGCUCCUCUGACGUUAGCGGCGGACGGGUGAGUAACACGUGGAUAACCUACCUAUAAGACUGGGAUAACUUCGGGAAACCGGAGCUAAUACCGGAUAAUAUAUUGAACCGCAUGGUUCAAUAGUGAAAGACGGUUUUGCUGUCACUUAUAGAUGGAUCCGCGCCGCAUUAGCUAGUUGGUAAGGUAACAGCUUACCAAGGCAACGAUGCGUAGCCGACCUGAGAGGGUGAUCGGCCACACUGGAACUGAGACACGGUCCAGACUCCUACGGGAGGCAGCAGUAGGGAAUCUUCCGCAAUGGGCGAAAGCCUGACGGAGCAACGCCGCGUGAGUGAUGAAGGUCUUCGGAUCGUAAAACUCUGUUAUUAGGGAAGAACAAAUGUGUAAGUAACUAUGCACGUCUUGACGGUACCUAAUCAGAAAGCCACGGCUAACUACGUG
rnacentral:rRNA from 1 species